rnacentral:rRNA from 1 species
AUUGAACGCUGGCGGCAGGCCUAACACAUGCAAGUCGAGCGAGGGGCGGACGGGUGAGUAAUGUAUGGGACCUGCCCGAUAGGGGGGGAUAACUACUGGAAAGGGUGGCUAAUACCGCAUACUAUCGGAGAGCCCAUAUGGGAUUAGCUAGUAGGUGGGGUAAGGGCGUACAGAGGCAACGAUCCCUAGAUGGUCUGAGAGGAUGAACACGCACACUGGGACUGAGACACGGCCCAGACUCCUACGGAGGCAGCAGUGGGGAAUAUUGCACAAGGGGCGCAAGCCUGAUGCAGCCAUGCCGCGUGUAUGAAGAAGGCCCUAGGGUUGUAAAGUACUUUCAGUCGGGAGGCGUUACCGGCAGAAGAAGCACCGGCUAACUCCGUGCCAGCAGCCGCGGUAAUAC